CUCCUUCACUAGACAGUUCCGAUCGCUGAAAGUGGGAGAGGAGAGAUGUUAACAGAGAAGCUACAGGAACUUUGUUUCAACAAAAAAGCGCGAAAACAUACUUUCAUAUCCGUAAAGAGUCAGAUAUCUGAAAACAUACGGGAGCUAAUUCAAUCGUUAUUGUGAUGUUGGAAGCAUGGAAGCCAAUUUACACCCAGUAAGGAUGAACAAACAGAAAAAUGACACGGACCUGAGGGAUUAUAUCCUUAAGUAUGAAAACCAUACAAGUGACUAUUAGAAGAACAGAAGGACAUAUAUAUGAAGGCAUUCACCUGAGGUCAAAGCUGUCUCAUUUCCAUUCUGAACAGUCCUGAUGAACCGAAAUGCCGUCUGCUUACUCCUCUCCAUAGAUGCUGCCUGACCUAUUGAGCCCAUCGAGCAUUCUGAGUGUGUUGUGUAGCGGUUACUUCAAAUACAAAUGAAAACCGCUGGGAGACUGAGUGAGGGAAUUAAUACUGGAUGACGUGCUUCCAAAUAACUGAGUUCCAUGUCAAAGAAGCUAUGUUUGAUCCUUUAUUAUGAAACCAGCAAGAGCUAACAAAACUAGUGGGAUUAGCAAUAACAGAAUUAGAAUUAUAAGUGAGGCUAGUGAUAACAGAAUUAGCAAAAUGACAGUAACUAACAGUACCAAAAAACAUCUAACCCCUACUCUCUCUAUCUCUAACUAAACUAACAGCUCAAAGACUGGAUACGUGACUACACUCAUUUACUUCUACCACGCCCAAACGCAUGUGAGGAAUUACUGAAACCCAUAAUAAAUGUGCGACACAAUGCAAUAUGGACAGACAGAAAAUAAAUACUUUGCUCCUACAUGUUUUUUUUUGUUAUUUCCACUCUGAGUUUGUGGAUUCUAUGAGGCCUGUGUGGGCACUUAUCCAUGAAUGGGACAAGAAGUGACUGUUGGAGUGGAUGGCCGGUACUUUGUGAGGUGGUUUGUUGAAGACUUGGCCUCUGUUUGCUCCUGGUGCAAGCCCUUGAGAUUUGGAAUGCCACCCAAAAUGCUGAUACUUUCCUUGGAGUGACCUUGGACCAGAGAUUCCCAGGAGUUAGUGGGGAUUUUGCACUUUCUCAAAAAAGCUUUCAGUAUCUUUCUCUUCAGUCUUCCCGGCAAUCACAUGCCAUGACCGUGCUCAGAAAAGCUCAGGAAAGUUUCAGGCGACGCGUGUUGACUGUGAAAACAAAGUGGCUUACCCAACAUAGUCGGCUAUAUAAGGACUGGCCUCAGUACAAGGGAUGUCGGAAGAUACCAAAGUUGGCUCACUAAUCCUUCCAGUGAGUUUGGGAGAUUUUGUAGAGACAAUAUUGAUGCAUCUUUCCAGUGUCUUGAGAUACCCGCUGAAGGUAGUCCAGGUCAUAGAAGCAUAUCUGCUGGCUAGUAGACAUUGAACUUCAUUGAAGCUCAGAUGCUUCAUCUUCAAAACCCUUUUUCUUUAUCAAUUAAGAACAAUAAUGGCACAUAGGUGAAUUUAUUCACUCUUGUCUGCCUUUGCCCAGAGUUGGCUCUCAAAAUAUGGAAAUGGCCCAUUUUUCCAGGAUCUUGCCAUGAACCUUAUGGUCAUGGGGCAAUGUAGAGCAGUACUGCAGGUUGGUGAAGAACUUGCCAAUAUUACAUCCUUUUCUAUGCCUCUGUGAUGAUAGCUUAGAUCUCAGCCUCUGUUUGCAUGCAGAAAAUUGUGUCUCAGUAUACUACAAUCCAUGAAUGAGCUUUGCCCUGAUCUGGACUGUCAUCGCCGUAGGUGGAAUGGCUGCCUUCUGGUCAUUAAGAUUAGUCGCACUCCUGCAGAAAGUUUGAAGAAAGUGAGUUUCAACUUCUCAGGCCUAUUUGAAGAUAAGAUUAGCUUUAUUUGUCACAUGUACAUCGGGCCAUCAAAACAUGCAGUAAAAUGCUUCAUUUUCAUCAAAUCAGAUCAGCGAGGAUUGUGCUGGGCAUUGCGUAAGUGCCACAACACUUCCAGCACCAGCAUUGCAUGCCCAUCUUCACUAACCCUAACCAUAUGUCUUUGGGUGUUUUGGGGGUUAGCACAUAUUGCAAAUAACUUCAUCAACCAAUCUUCAAAUAUGAAUCUAGACUAUAGAUUAAAUUUAAAAUGCAGCUCUGAGCAAUGGGUUCCUAAGAGCCGUGAAUCACAGUUAAAGGGAAGACCAAGCAAUGCUGAUUAAAAUUGAUUUAGGUGUCUGUGGUGUGGGUGCAAAGUGGGAGGUGGAAAGUUUGGGUGUGGUUCAAAGAAAGCAUUGUGAAUGUAUUGUAAAUAUGGAAUUGUCCUUUGAUCUUUAACACAUAAAAUGUCAUGUAGCGUUGGGUUGAGUAGGCCUCUUCUUCUGAAGGCGGAAACAGGAGCAGCUGGAGGAAAUCCAUGUAGUCACGAGGAGAAUGUACAAAGAAAGUGUUUGUUUAUGGUGGAGCCAUUGGUUAAUAUUAUGACUUGCAUACCAUUGUAGACCAAAUGUAACAUGGAGAUGAAUUUCUGUCUAUAGCCAAAUUUAAGGUGGAUGUUUCACAAUCCCUCCCAAUUGAUGAACUCAAAGACGUUGGCAAAGUCCAAUAAGGUCAUGUCAAAUUGUUGCUGUUGUCCUUUACAUCUUUUCUGAACUCGUGUGGUGAAGAUCAUGUCUCCUGUUCCCCUGAAAAAGACAGCAUUCACACUGUGAUGUGGGGAGUGGCUGUUUGGCCCCUGUCAGGAUUGGUUGAGGAUGACCGUGGCAAAGAAUUCUUCUGUGGCAGAUAGCAGGGAGAAUAUUCUGUAGUUCCCACAGAUGGUCAUCUUGGAGUUAGAAUUAAUGCAACAUGCACUGAGAUACAGUGAAAAGCUUGUCUUGCAUUACUGUUCAUACAGAUCAAAUCAUUGCUCAGUGCAUUGAGGAAGAACAAGGUAAAAACAGUAGCAGAAUGCAGAAUAGAGUGCAACAGCUAACGUGCAGUAUAAGUAGGAAAUAAAGUGCAAGAUCAUACUGAGGUAAAUUGUGAGAUUAUGAGUCCAUCUUAUACUAUAAAACCAUUCAAUAAUCUUAUAACAGUGGUGGAGAAGCUGUCCUUCAGCCCAGUGGUAUGUGCUUUUAGGCUUUUUUAUCUUCUGGAAGAGGGGUCCACAAACUGGGGUCCUCAGAUUUCUCAGUUAAUGGUAGGGGUCCAUGGCAUAAAAAAGAUUGGGAUCCCUUGUUACAGGUAUAUAACACCUUGGUCAGACCCCAGCUGGAGUACUGUGUUCAUUUCUGGUCACCUCACUACAGGAAGGAUGUGGAUACUAUAGAAAGAGUGCAGAGGAGAUUUACAAAGAUGUUGCCUGGAUUGAAGAACGUGCCUUACAAGCAUAGGUUGGGUGAACUUGGCAAUUUCUCCUUGGAGGGAUACUGGAUGAGAGGGACCCCCGGUAGAGAUUUAUAAGAUGAUGAGAGGCAUUGAUCGUGUGGAUAGCCAGAGGCUUUGUCCCAGAGCUGAAAUGGCUAACACGAAGGGACAUAGUUUUAAGAUGCUUGGAAGUAGGUACAGAGGGGAUGUCAGGGGUAGGUCUUUCACACAGAGAAUGGUGGGUGCGUGGAAUGCACUGCUGGCAAUGGUGAUGGAAGCGGAUGCAAUAGGGUCUUUUAAGAGACUCUUAGAUAGGUACAUGGAGCUUACAAAAUAGAGGGCUGUGCGGUAGGGAAAUUCUAAGCAGUUUCUAGAGUAGGUUACAUGGUUGGCACAACAUUGUGGGCUGAAGGGCCUGUAAUAUGCUAUAGAUUUCUGUGUUCUAUGUUUUAUGUUCUAACCCCCACUCUAGAUCUUCCCUCUUGCUGAUUCCAGUCCCCUCCUUAAGAAUCUUUUUUUGGAAAAGAAUGCUCCAAAAUUUAUCAGCUCUCUGUAUAAAGAUAUGUUAUCUAACAUCAUAAACAAGAGAAAUGCUGGAAAUCCAAAGUAACACACACAAAGGUCUAACAUUAGCUCUGGAUGUUCACACUGUGUUUCCAAGUUAACCCUGGCCUUGUGGAUCCUCUCACUAGAAUAAACUA